GACGGAGGGUGCUAGCGUUGUUCGGAAUUACUGGGCGUAAAGGGCGCGUAGGCGGCCUUUCAAGUGACGGGUGAAAUCCCUCGGCUUAACCGAGGAACUGCCUGUCAGACUGGAAGGCUUGAGACCGGGAGAGGUGAGUGGAAUUCCCAGUGUAGCGGUGAAAUGCGUAGAUAUUGGGAGGAACACCAGUGGCGAAGGCGGCUCACUGGACCGGUACUGACGCUGAGGCGCGAAAGCGUGGGGAGCAAACAGGG
rnacentral:rRNA from 1 species